rnacentral:tRNA from 1 species
AGUAAAGUCAGCUAAUUAAGCUCUUGGGCCCAUACCCCAAAUAUGUCGGUUAAACUCCUUCCUUCACUA